ensembl:lncRNA
CUGUGAGUUUCCCAUCACGUCGUAGCUACUCGGUGCUUGCUCGGAAGUUUAGGGGUUUUUUUCGCUGUAAAAAGAAGUUUUCUUCCCACGCACGAUGGACGCUAAUGUUUUUGUCACUUUUUAUGGAAUCAAACUCAAAGUAAGGAACUCAUCCCUAACCCAGAGGGGGCACUCCACCCUUUUUCGGCUGAGGACCAUGGCCUGCGAACCAUUCCAAGAGGCAAAGUCACCCGCUACAAUGGAGGCAACAGAAAAUAGAGUCCACCAGAAGCUCUCAGUCUGCUGUGGAAAAAUGGGUGAUCACCUGAGGCCUUCAUUACUGUGUGAACUUUACCCACACACCACUCUUCACUGCUCCCACCUGCUGGACAGUCGCACAGUAUAAACCUGCUGAUUCAUGUAAAGGGAGAGGCAGUAAAACCAGAAAAACAGCUUCAGGAAGAGGCGGAGCAACACCUGAAAGACGAGAAGUUCAAGGUCAUUUUCCAGAAGUGAAAGUGUGUGAGAGCAGUAGCAGACCUGCAGUCAAGACCUGUUAGUCUCUAAAAGAAAACUCACUGGAGUCCAUCAGGUUUCUCUCAGCAACAGUGUUGAGUGCAUUUUCUGUUUCUACACAAAUCUUCA